AACCAGAAUAAUCUUAAGAAGUCAAAAGUCAAGAUAGUUUAUCAAUUAUGAUGAGUCAAAACCAGAGACUAAGGAUAAUUUUAGGGGGAAUUUCCUGCUCAUUGACUUCUGUUAUUAAUUCAAUACUCUUGAGAAACUUUUCAAGGAGGGUCAUUUAAAAAAAUUGCUUCAUCUUUACUAUGUAGAAUAUACAAGAUAUGUAAAGAAUAAUAACUGUAGCCAAUAAAUGAAAUCAGGAUGAUAGGAUACAAACAUUACUAUUACUGAAUCAGUCAGAGGACAGAUGGCGUUAAUUUGGGCCUCAUUAGGUUGAUUCUGAUUGGAUGACCAACACAUCAAUUGUAUUAUGCUGGCCCUCCUCCUAGUUAACCACCAAGCCCAACAACCAGACUAAUCCUUGCUGACAAAUCCCCUGGCUCCACCCUCUGAUAGCACCUGGAGAAUUUUCCCAGCGUCACACUCUGUCACGUCUCUCUCCUUCCUGCCACAGGCCAGGGAAAUAUUUUCUCCAUGGUUCAUUCUCUGUGUCUGCCCAGUUGUCCCUCAGGUAAAAGAAAGGACAGGAUGCAGACUCUGUGAGCUGCAGGAAAUAGGACAAAGACUGGGAUAUGCUCACAGAAGAGGAGAAAAUCUUUAAUGUGCUGGGGAAUUACCUUCAUCCCCAGGGUCUCCCUGAGGGAGUUCCUGCCCCACCCUCACUGCCCCAGGAUGCCUUCUUGAAGCCCCCAGGUCCACCUUCCUGAUGCUGUCCACUCUGGACACUGACAUCACAGACGAAUGAGUGUCCCUGCGUUUGAGGAACCCAUCUUCUCAGGAGUUGCUGAUUCCCUACUCUGUGCAGAGCACGAAAAAAAUCAAUCUGUUUAUCUAUUUUUGUUGUUUAAAAAAAGCCUAGAUAUUUAACCAAAAGCAUUUUAGAUUAACAUAAUAUUACAUGCAAAAAGUUGAACAGACAUACAAGUCCAAGAAAAUGAAAGCACAUUGUGAAUGUUCUUGAUGUUUUGAUUCUCUAUUUUUACAAUUUAUAUAAAAGUGCACGAAUCUUUAG
rnacentral:lncRNA from 1 species